CAGACAGUUGACAGUGGUUUCUCAAAAACUCCCUUUAAUGUAGUUACACUGGGGACCGGGUUACCUAUUAAAACCAAGCUGAUCUCUCACAUCUGACCUGUGGUUGUGCCUGCUUUCAUCUCAUCCAUCCUUUCAUGUUUUCGGAUUACGGUGCUGUGGGAGGCCAACCUAAGGUGUUUAAUGAAUACCAUUAUUUUAUAAGCUUCUCUUAAAUAGUUAGACAAAUAUUCUGUAAUCCUUUGGACUCAUCCUAGGUCAACCACAUAGUUAAUGGACAAUGAUAACAAACAAGUUGAAAUUGAAGCUUUGGGGAAAAUGCCCCUUCCUUCAUCACACGCACGUGUGCGCACAUGCACAGUCUGAAGCACGACAGACACGGUACAGAAGAAAUACAACACUCUGUCAUGGAUAUCUUACACAACUCCAGUCCUGCAGAUGUAGUUUGGAAUUCUGAAGCAUUAUUCAAGUGAGUCCCUUCAUAGGUUGUCCUCCAAAAGAACCUGCGUGUAGAUCCUGACAGGAGCAACAGAGAAACCUGUGGGGUCAUCGUUCAAGAUGCUAGUCUGUGUUGUCUGGAAGUCAAUGUACAGGGGUGACUAGUGAAUGAACAAGGAAAUCUGCCAAAAAUAGCUGUGGUGACGUGGAUGGAACUGAUUUCUUCAGGUCUGUCCCUGCCUCAGAGUCUGCUUUGGCUGUAAAUUGUUUUUUCUCUCAGUUACCUCUACUUCAGAACUGCUAAUGAAACCCCUGUGUGAGCCACACAACAGGUCGCCAGCUAUCUGACAUAAAUAAAUAGCGUAAAAAUUAAGAAGCCCACUAUUUUACAAAGAACACGCAUUUUUCAUUAUAAAAUUUGCAUCGGAAUAUUUUCAGUUUUUUAGAAAAGUUUUUUUUUUUUUUUUCUCCCCUCAAUUUUAAAUAAUUCUCUAGGAUGUUACUUAUUUUCUAGAUUACACUCUUGGCUGAAAAUAACAGCUGUGUGGGAGGUAGAGGUCUGAAGGAGGGUGUCUUUGGGAAAUGGUUGGAUUGCUUGAGAGAUCAAAGGAAGAGAAUUAAAAAUAUGUGGAUGCUUAUCAAAACAGCGCUUCCGGACUGUCAAAGAAUCUAACUGUGGACCAAAGGAAAGCAUGUGAACAUGGCUUAUCUUCACCAUCUUGGCAUGGCAGGUUAAUGGUGCUGGCAGAGCACGUACUAAGAAAUCUUACAGUCUUGAAUCAUCUCAUGGUGAUGAUGCCACUAAACUGUGUCCCCUGACUCACUCUUUUUAUUGUUAUUACAUCCUGUACAUGCUGAGGGGUAACUUCUAUUAGUGCUUUUCUACCUCUAGUACCCUGUGACCAGCAAAUGAGAUCACCCAGCUUCCUCCCUUCACUCAGCCUCGUUCUACUUUCUCCCUCCUCAGCUCUCCUUCUUCUAUGAUGUCCCUCAUGGAUUAGAACAAGGCUUGGGCUAAAAGCUUAAGGAACAUUAGUUUAGAAUGUUUUGGUGGGUAAUAGGGAAGUGUGUUCAACCCUGAGGAUGGUGACUGUCUUCUGCAAGUCAUGGGGUGCCCUGAUUGCUGGUGAAGUGCAUGGUUUGAGGAUCCUACCCAUCCGUCUCUUCUCACCAAUCUGACAGUUUCCAUGCUACUGGCUUCUGCUUCUGACAAUAGAGAUUUGUACAUCGAUGCUGUGCUCGCCAGCUGGUCCGUGGGAUUUGCAUUACGCUAUUUGUUUGGAUGGAUGCUUUCCUGUAAAGAGAUGAUGUCGCGUUUUUCAGCCGGCACAGGAGUUUGCAGGCUGCUGAAAGCUCAACAGCCAUUCAGGCUUCAAAGACAAAAGGGAGAUUUCCCUCUUUAAUCUUCGCCGAUGUUCCCUCACUCAACCCAUCUUGGCUGGAAGCUCUCUGGAGCAGCGCACACAGCGCUCGCCAAUGCGCGGAGCCGUGCGCUCCUGGUGCUAAUAAAGCCAUCGCUCCAGCACGGCAGGUCGGGUGAUUACUGCCUCUGGUAAAUGCUUGUGAGACAAUAAGCAGACAUAGGGAGAAAUGAACUGAUUGAGGUGAGCAAGAGGAUGGGGUGGAUGAGAAACGCGGGGUGGGAGAGCCUCGGCGAUACGUUCACCCAGGGGAACCUCACCCUGCUGGUGGAUUCCCGACCCACGCUCUUAUCUCUCUGCAGAGCCCGCAGUGAAAAGCCAAUGCUGUUCGGGAAGCUUUUUCCUUACAGAUGAGAUAUAAAACCAAUGCCUGCCUAACCACUUAUGUACAUUAAUGAUCCCCCGGUGCUCUCCAAAAGAGGAAAAAUAUUAACCCAGGCAUCAUAAUAAUAUGCUGCUUGCUUAUAAGCCCUGUACAAUUUAAAUUCAAUCUGGUGUGAUGUUAUUUCUGACUUCCUGACCCAAAUUGGUGUGCGUGCAGCUCUGAGCUGUUAAGCAGAUGAUUGUUCCAUCCCAGCAGCAGAUCCAUCUCUCCAAUGCCUUGGAAGGAUUUCUCGGCCUGCGUUGCAGAGAGCCUCUGUUGAAAAAUGUGCCGCAUGUCAAACCGUUGGCUGAGCACAGCACAUCAUCCAUGGGGCCAUUUUUACUGUACACACACAUCCUUCGUUUCCUACGAACACACCACUGCCAGAGACUGCAGAUGGAGAAAGGCUCUCAAAUCCCUCUGUUGGUAAAAAGGCGAAAAUGCUCCAGACGGAUUUUCCUCUCCUUUUCCACCUACCCACAGCUCCUUCAGACAGCGUCCUCCCUAUGCAGCAAAUGCAGUCCUGUGAAGGUCAGGGUUGGUGAUAGGCCCGUGUUUUGCUGCUGUGUGCUCAGGUGCAGAAGGUAUGGGAACCCUCCUGGUCCCACCCUGUCUGGGUUUCCCUGGGAGAGCCCUGGUGCCAGGACCUGCACCCCGGAGCUGCUCACACCCUACCUGCUCCGCAAAUGAGCAGAGCCAAAGCAGAUGGCUUUGUGGAGCAUAAAACAAAACAGAGAGAUCUGUGGUGGCUGCAGAAAUACUGCCCUGGCUCUCCCCUGCGUGAUCAGGGGAUGGCAGGGCUCUCCUGCUCUGGGCAGCUGGGUGAGCCCCUAGAAGCUGAAGCUGCUGGAAGAGCUGGCUGCUGACCGACCUCCUGCAUGCCCAAUCCCAGCUCUGCGCUUGCAUUUGUGUUGCAGCAGUGUUUUCCUGGGAGCCAAACAAAACAGUUGUUCAUGAGCCACUCAGAGUAUGUGCUGGGGCAUGAAGGAGGUGUCAGUUUGUCCUCAUUAGUAAUUGCAACAGACUCACUUUGGUGUAGUGUCCUGCUAAAAGGAAUGGUAUGAUGGAUCUUGUCAUCAUUCCUCUGGAAAGUAAAGUAGUCCUCCCCAGUCCGUGGUCCCAGGCAGAGUUUGCUUGCUGAUACAUGAUCAUGGGCAAUGAAGUGAGCUCCAAUCUCCAUUUACGAGCUUUUACAAUCAAUGGUAUGGUUAAAGAUUGCAUGAUAACUAUGCUGGGAAACUUCUGUUUCUUACUCCCCUGUUUUCAGUUGCAGAUAUUUUAUAAUUCAAUGCUGGACUUGUACAUAAUACUUCAGUACCAUUCAUGCAGGUGGCUCCAAUAAAUUUAGAAACUUUUUUUGUGGUAUUUGCAGCUGACUAAUUUUUCCGUGUUGUUUUUCCUUCUCCUUUAUUAUAAAAGUGUAACUCAGUAUCAUUCAUGACAACUAGAAAUGAAGCCAGGCAAAGAUCAGACUUUGGACCUCUCAGACACAAUGAUGUUAAAAUCUCAGAUUUUGAAUUAAGCCAGAG
ensembl:lncRNA